AGCAACUUGACGCAGCGGAAGCGUGCAGGGCUCAUACGCUUAGCAGUGAAACCCUGAAGUCCCUGGAUCGAAACCAGGAGUUGCUA